GACGAACGCUGGCGGCGUGCUUAACACAUGCAAGUCGAACGGGCCCGCCCCUGUUUUUGGGGGUGGGUUGAGUGGCGAACGGGUGAGUAUCACGUGAGUAACCUGCCCCCUGCUCCUGGAUAACUGCUUGAAAGGGCGUCUAAUACGGGGUGUGCCGGCUGGUCCGCAUGGGCCUGGUCGGGAUAGUUUCAUCUUCGGGUGUUUCGGUGGGGGAUGGGCUCGCGGCCUAUCAGCUUGUUGGUGGGGUGAUGGCCCACCAAGGCGGUGACGGGUAGCCGGCCUGAGAGGGUGGGCGGCCACACGGGGACUGAGACACGGGCCAGACUCCUGCGGGAGGCAGCAGUGGGGGGUAUUGCACAAUGGGCGGAAGCCUGAUGCAGCGACGGCGCGUGAGGGAUGGAGGCCUUCGGGUGGUGAACCUCUUUCUCCGGUGGUGAAGGCCCUGUCCGUUGCGGCGGGGUUGACGGUAGCCGGGUAUGAAGCGCCGGCUAACUACGUG
rnacentral:rRNA from 1 species